UUGCUCUUCUUGGAAGAGUUGCGAACGGGUGAGUAACACGUAGGUAACCUGCCUUGUAGCGGGGGAUAACUAUUGGAAACGAUAGCUAAUACCGCAUAACAAUGGGUGACCCAUGUCAUUCAUUUGAAAGGGGCAACUGCUCCACUACAAGAUGGACCUGCGUUGUAUUAGCUAGUAGGUGAGGUAACGGCUCACCUAGGCGACGAUACAUAGCCGACCUGAGAGGGUGAUCGGCCACACUGGGACUGAGACACGGCCCAGACUCCUACGGGAGGCAGCAGUAGGGAAUCUUCGGCAAUGGGGGCAACCCUGACCGAGCAACGCCGCGUGAGUGAAGAAGGUUUUCGGAUCGUAAAGCUCUGUUGUAAGUCAAGAACGAGUGUGAGAGUGGAAAGUUCACACUGUGACGGUAGCUUACCAGAAAGGGACGGCUAACUACGUGCCAGCAGCCGCGGUAAUACGUAGGUCCCGAGCGUUGUCCGGAUUUAUUGGGCGUAAAGCGAGCGCAGGCGGUUUGAUAAGUCUGAAGUUAAAGGCUGUGGCUCAACCAUAGUUCGCUUUGGAAACUGUCAAACUUGAGUGCAGAAGGGGAGAGUGGAAUUCCAUGUGUAGCGGUGAAAUGCGUAGAUAUAUGGAGGA
rnacentral:rRNA from 1 species